rnacentral:rRNA from 1 species
CCUACGGGGGGCAGCAGUGGGGAAUAUUGGGCAAUGGGCGCAAGCCUGACGCAGCAACGCCGCGUGAAGGAAGAAGGCUUUCGGGUUGUAAACUUCUUUUGGCAGGGACGAAGCAAGUGACGGUUGCUGACGAAUACGCCACGGCUAACUACGUGCCAGCAGCCGCGGUAAUACGUAGGUGGCAAGCGUUAUCAGGAUUUACUGGGUGUAAAGGGCGUGUAGGCGGGGAAGCAAGUCAGAUGUGAAAACCACGGGCUCAACCUGGGGCCUGCAUUUGAAACUGUUUUUCUUGAGUGCUGGAGAGGCAAUCGGAAUUCCAGGUGUAGGAGUGAAAUCCGUAGAUAUCUGGAGGAACAUCAGUGGCGAAGGCGACUAGCUGGAACAUAACUGACGCUGAGGAGCGAAAGCGUGGGUAGCAAACAGGAUUAGAUACCCCAGUAGUC